CACGUAGGCACCAAGCGUUGUCCGGAUUUAUUGGGCGUAAAGAGCUCGUAGGCGGUUCAGUAAGUCGGGUGUGAAAACUCUGGGCUCAACCCAGAGCUGCCAUCCGAUACUGCUGUGACUGGAGUCCGGUAGGGGAGUGGGGAAUUCCUAGUGUAGCGGUGAAAUGCGCAGAUAUUAGGAGGAACACCGGUGGCGAAGGCGCCACUCUGGGCCGGUACUGACGCUGAGGAGCGAAAGCGUGGGUAGCAAACAGG
rnacentral:rRNA from 1 species